rnacentral:misc_RNA from 1 species
GCGGAGGAAAAGAAACCAACAGGGAUUGCCUCAGUAACGGCGAGUGAAGCGGCAACAGCUCAAAUUUGAAAUCUGGCUCCUUCGGGGCCCGAGUUGUAAUUUGCAGAGGAUGCUUCGGGUACGGGUUCCUUCCGAGUUCCCUGGAACGGGACGCCAUAGAGGGUGAGAGCCCCGUCUGGUAGGACACCCAGCCCGUGUGAAGCUCCCUCGACGAGUCGAGUAGUUUGGGAAUGCUGCUCUAACGGGAGGUAUACUCCUUCCAAGGCUAAAUACCGGCUGGAGACCGAUAGCGCACAAGUAGAGUGAUCGAAAGAUGAAAAGCACUUUGAAAAGAGAGUCAAAUAGCACGUGAAAUUGUUGAAAGGGAAGCGCUCGCUACCAGACAUGGGUUCGGCGGUUCAACCGGGGCCACGCCCCGGGGCACUCCGCCGGCCCAGGCCAGCAUCAGCUUUCCGUCGGGGGCAAAGACGUCGGGAAUGUGGCUCCCCUCCGGGGGAGUGUUAUAGCCCGGCGUGUCAUACCCUUCGGGGGGCUGAGGUACGCGCUUCUGCAAGGAUGCUGGCGUAAUGGUAGCUAGUGACCCGUCUUGAAACACGGACCAAGGAGUCAACCUUAUGUGCGAGUGCCCGGGCGUAAAACCCCAGCGCGGAAUGAAAGUGAACGUAGGUGAGAGCUUCGGCGCAUCACCGACCGAUCCUGAUGUCCUCGGACGGAUUUGAGUGAGAGCAUAUAGGGUUGGACCCGAAAGAAGAUGAACUAUGCGUGUGUAGGGUGAAGCCAGAGGAAACUCUGGUGGAGGCUCGCAGCGGUUCUGACGUGCAAAUCG